UAAAUUGUAGCUAGGUUAGUUAGUAUCUCUUUUACACAGAGGGGAGAUUUGUGCAACUCAAAUUAAUUUAA
rnacentral:tRNA from 1 species